AUUGGAACACCGAAAGCCAGAAAGGCUAAACAAUCUGCCCAACGUCAUCCAGCUGAUAAACUCCAGCACUAAGGCUGAACCCCAACACCUGAAUUCUCAACCAUCCUGCCCUGCUGGCUCCCCACCACCUAGGAGAUCAAGCAACAAGAAAGGUAAAUGGGGUGACGGCAUUCGAGCAGGAGUUGACAGUCAAGAAGCAAGUAAAGAAAAAGAGCUCUUCAAUUCUUCAAGGGUGAGGUGUUGAGGAAGACAGAGAGGACUCUUAAGAAGCAGGCACGAAUGCACAGAUCUCAAGGCUGAAGAAAAGCUAGCACAGUUGGAACAUGGUGACUGAGAGAGAGGAAGAAAGGAACCUGGAGGAGAAGGCAUAGACCAAUCAAAUGAGAGCUAGCGUCCCUUGGUAGCAUGGUUUGGAUAAGCAUCCCCUCCAAGGACCAGACUACCCCUCUGGAAAUGUCAACCCAAAUCAACUCUUCAUUCUACAAUCUGCCUUGCCUUGGCCAGGACGCUUCAUCACAGCAACAGGCAGAAAAGGAAUCUUGAAAGAAAGCUAAAUGGAAGCAGUCAACAGCACAGGAGAACCGGAAGAAUGUUAACAUGGACACCAGUGGAAGAAUUCAUUUGGGCUGUGCAAGCACCAAAGACCUGGAAAGUCUGAGUUUAUUUUUGCCUAACAGAUAAGGAAGCCAUGGGGGACUUGAGUCAGACCUGCCUCAACUACCUGGUCAGGAUGGCCUAGCAACAGCCUGGUCAGGACGGCCUAGCAGCAGCCUGGCUGGAGCAGGAGAGGCAAGUGUCCUGCCAGUCUAUCGUCAGGGAUGUGGAAUCCUCAGGGAGAAGAGGGGCUCUCAUAUGCAUGUGAAAUAAGUGUAAGAAAGCUCUGGAAUGUGAACAUUCUUUCAGACUCCAAUGAUAACUUGAGAUAAAUUUGGACUUCUGGGACAUCCUAUUUCUGUUCUAUGUCUUCACCCACUCCCUUCUUGGCUGGUGGGAAAAAGAGGUAAAGAAUUUAAGAAUGGGAGGUAUUUAUUCUCAUUUUUUUUUCUGUUUGUUUAA